GUUGCUCUUGAUUCAUCUCUCGAACUGAUUGACUGUUUUCCAUGUACUAAACUGCUUGGAUGAUUCUGUGAGUAUNUGCUUUCAUUGACUCUUUGUGGAACUCUGCCUAUGCCUUUCACUGUCCAGAUUUUGUGAGAACUAUGCAACUCUGUGGUUGUCCUUGUGAGUCGUUGUCGUUUGUCUGUUGUGUCUGUGUCACUUCCUGAUGUCCUCAGUGUUGUUUCCUGUUUUGCGUCUUGAUUUUGCCUAGGAGUGCAAAAGACUAAGUGUGGUCUAUUUUGAUGAAUCGAUAUAUUAUACCAUUAACUUAGUUUUUCGCGCCGAAUUGUGUUGAUGAUUUGCGCUUAAUUCUUAGUUAUUGUGUCAUUUUCACCAUUU
rnacentral:lncRNA from 1 species